CGAUGCCGGGCCCUGCACCCCUGGGGAGUGGGGGACAGGGGAGAGAGAGCGAGCCCAGCGCCGGCCUGGAAGGGGGUCUCGCCUCGCGGUGCCUCCGCAGGCGCCGGACCCUCCCGCUGGAAGGCCGCGCGGCCCGGUCUGGUCCGCCCGCGGGGCAGGCGCCGGACGCAACUUGGAGAGCACCAGACGCACACCCGGCUGCCGCUUCUCCGGGAGCUGCACAUUCAUGAAUCUCGAAAGUUCCUGGCUGAGGGGAGAAAAAUCGCAAGGAUCAGUAUAUGGAGUUGGCGUAGGAUUUUCUAGGACUUUCUUCUAUUAGCCGCAGCGGACAGUUUUCCGGCUCCAGAUGUUCCCCUCCACGCGAACGUCCCCCUUGGUCCCCACCCGCAGAGCCCUCAGCUCCCGCCUAAACCAAGGGAGGCGCGGGACCCGCAGCCUCGAGGGCCGGGUAGGUUUUACUUCAGCCACGAGGAGAGAGACACGUGACAAGCCUCCGCGCCACCCCCCCACCCCCCCACUCGCCGCCGUCCCGUUCCCGCCGUCGCUCCCCCCGCCAGU